rnacentral:rRNA from 1 species
CCGGCCACAUUGGGACUGAGACACGGCCCAAACUCUUACGGGAGGCAGCAGUGGGGAAUACUGCACAAUGGGGGAAACCCUGAUGCAGCGACGCCGCGUGAGCGAUGAAGUAUUUCGGUAUGUAAAGCUCUAUCAGCAGGGAAGAAAAUGACGGUACCUGACUAAGAAGCACCGGCUAAAUACGUGCCAGCAGCCGCGGUAAUACGUAUGGUGCAAGCGUUAUCCGGAUUUACUGGGUGUAAAGGGAGCGUAGACGGAGUGGCAAGUCUGAUGUGAAAACCCGGGGCUCAACCCCGGGACUGCAUUGGAAACUGUCAAUCUAGAGUACCGGAGAGGUAAGCGGAAUUCCUAGUGUAGCGGUGAGAUGCGUAGAUAUUAGGAGGAACACCAGUGGCGAAGGCGGCUUACUGGACGGUAACUGACGUUGAGGCUCGAAAGCGUGGGGAGCAAACAGGAUUAGAUACCCUGGUAGUCCACGCCGUAAACGAUGACUACUAGGUGUCGGGCAGCAAAGCUGUUCGGUGCCGCAGCAAACG